GGAUCGACAUAAUCAACUUAUACCUUCCCAGAAAUUGCUGGCCUUGUGCCAAAAUUUGAAACCAUUAUUAUUAUAUAGUUGAUGUUUAUUU